rnacentral:rRNA from 1 species
CCUACGGGGGGCAGCAGUGGGGAAUAUUGGACAAUGGGGGGAACCCUGAUCCAGCCAUGCCGCGUGUGUGAAGAAGGCCCUCGGGUUGUAAAGCACUUUCAGUGAGGAAGAACGCCUGGUGGUUAAUACCCAUCAGGAAAGACAUCACUCACAGAAGAAGCACCGGCUAACUCCGUGCCAGCAGCCGCGGUAAUACGGGGGGUGCGAGCGUUAAUCGGAAUUACUGGGCGUAAAGCGCGCGUAGGUGGCUUGAUAAGCCGGUUGUGAAAGCCCCGGGCUCAACCUGGGAACGGCAUCCGGAACUGUCAAGCUAGAGUGCAGGAGAGGAAGGUAGAAUUCCCGGUGUAGCGGUGAAAUGCGUAGAGAUCGGGAGGAAUACCAGUGGCGAAGGCGGCCUUCUGGACUGACACUGACACUGAGGUGCGAAAGCGUGGGUAGCAAACAGGAUUAGAUACCCCUGUAGUC